UACGUAGGUGGCAAGCGUUAUACGGAUUUACUGGGUGUAAAGGGCAUGUAGGCGGGGAAGCAAGUCAGAUGUGAAAACCACGGGCUCAACCUGUGGCCUGCAUUUGAAACUGUUUUUCUUGAGUGCUGGAGAGGCAAUCGGAAUUCCGUGUGUAGCGGUGAAAUGCGUAGAUAUACGGAGGAACACCAGUGGCGAAGGCGGAUUGCUGGACAGUAACUGACGCUGAGGCGCGAAAGCGUGGGGAGCAAACAGG
rnacentral:rRNA from 1 species